UCGAGGAUCUUUACCAAUGCCCGAAAGGGUGAGUAUGCGACGCCGCGUGCAGGCAGAAGGCCUUCGGGUUGUAAACUGCUUUCAGGGGUGAGGAAACCUUGCGCGCUAAUAACGCGCAAGCUGACGUUAACCCCAGAAGAAGCCACGGCUAACUCUGUGCCAGCAGCCGCGGUAAUACAGAGGUGGCAAGCGUUGUUCGGAUUUAUUGGGUGUAAAGGGCAGGUAGGCGGUUGCGCAAGUCUGUGGUGAAAUCCCGAAGCUUAACUUCGGAACUGCCACGGAAACUGCGCGGCUGGAGCGUUGGAGGGGUGAGGGGAAUUCUCGGUGUAAGGGUGAAAUCUGUAGAUAUCGAGAGGAAUACCGAUGGCGAAGGCACCUCACUGGCCAAUUGCUGACGCUG
rnacentral:rRNA from 1 species